GUCAGGAUGGCCGAGCGGUCUAAGGCGCCAGACUCAAGGGUAACCUUACUAGCGUGUGCUAGCACUGGGCGUUCUGGUCCUCUCUGAGGGCGUGGGUUCGAAUCCCACUUCUGACA
rnacentral:tRNA from 1 species